rfam:Botryotinia fuckeliana BcDW1 unplaced genomic scaffold Scaffold_421, whole genome shotgun sequence.
GGUGAGAUGGCCGAGUUGGUCUAAGGCGCCAGGUUAAGGUUAUAGCUUAACAUAAGAUUAUUACAAUCUCCUGGUCUAGUAAUAGGCGUGGGUUCGAAUCCCACUCUCAUCA